rnacentral:rRNA from 1 species
UACAGAGGUCUCAAGCGUUGUUCGGAUUCAUUGGGCGUAAAGGGUGCGUAGGUGGCGCUGUAAGUCGGGUGUGAAAUUUCGGAGCUUAACUCCGAAACUGCAUUCGAUACUGCGGUGCUUGAGGACUGGAGAGGAGACUGGAAUUCAUGGUGUAGCAGUGAAAUGCGUAGAGAUCAUGAGGAAGACCAGUGGCGACGGCGGGUCUCUGGACAGUUCCUGACACUGAGGCACGAAGGCCAGGGGAGCAAACGGG